CAUUUCAAAGCUAAGGUUAUGG
rnacentral:miRNA from 8 species